AUUUGACAUAUUUUGAAAAUAUGUAAAAAUAGCUUGACUUUGAACUGUAUUUUCUCAAAAAUGGCCCGUGGCCUCAAUUUCAAAUAUAGCUAAAUGAAAAGCAAAACCUUUUCGGCGUUUGUAGGUAUCAAACAUAUCGUCUGGAAAAUAGGGGCUCACAAUGUUUUAGUUCAGUCGUUGAGACCCAGUUGCUUCGCACGUGUUGUGGUCAAAUUUUUGCCAAGAAUGAAAGGCCGAAAUGUGAACUUCCUUUAUAAAAACCGCUUCGAGAAGGGUCUAGUUUGAAAAUUUAGCUAUUAAUUUCGAUUUCAUGAGCAUAUUUUGGUUACACGUUAAAUAUUUUUGUGCUUGAUGAGAUUCAAAAUUUGUUGUAUAUUCAAGCCCGGCUUUUGUGUAAUUUUGGUGAUGACCGGAACAGAAAUAAAGAUAUUUUAAAAACUGGCCGUGGCCUCACAAUAAAACUUUCUACAAAUGUUCUCUGUUUCAUGUACUUUUAUUUGAUAUCUUAGGUAUAAGCGUAAAAAUAGGGGCUCAUACAGUUUGAGAGGUUGUAAAAUGCAUGACUUGCCUCUAUUUUCAUGUAAACAUUCGAAAUUCUUCG